AUUAGAAGAAAUAACAGUUGAGAAGAUUUUCCUGUUUGAUGUUAAGAUCAGUGUAUGUUUUGAGACGUAUGGAGACUGUAGAUACAAAUUUGACAUUUUGGACAGUGUAAGGAUACCAAAACUACUUUGUUCAUGGUCGGAUGACUUUGUCAUUCCAGGAUUCAAAAUAAGUAAUUGGAUGAGUAAUAAAGGACUACUUAGCUCCUUAACACAGUUACCCUCAGUCCUUGCAUCACAGCUCAUGGAAGAUCUGAAUUUAGCUGGUUAUCUGUUGAAUCCAGCAUGUGACCAGUCGAGUAGUAAAUACAAAACUGAAAGUGGCAAUGGAUGGAAUUCAGAAUGCACAUCAGAGGUGAACCUUCCUGACCUACCAGAAUCCGUGACAUGCUACUUAGAUGACACUUGUACUGGGUUAAGCUGUUGUGCACACAUUGGAUUUAUCAAUAGAAAUAUCAAUUUUUUUCUUACAAUAGAUCCUUGCAGUUAUACAUUUAACAUUGGCAUAGAAAAGUAUCAAUAUGAAUUUUUUCUAAUGGAUUUUGAAUUUGGCAUUCAAAAACAUUUUCAUAUUGGACAAGUGAUUGA